GGAAGAACUUUUAGACUGCAUACUCUGUGUUGUCAGAUCUUGUGCUCCACUGAUGUCCUAGAUUAGAGAACUAGAAAUGUUAAAGACUAUAUUCAAACCUAUGCUCUUUAAAAUCUGUAGUGUAUGAUAGCAUUUAUUGCCUUUUUGUACUUUGAUACUCUUGUUCCAUGGCUACAAAUCCAACAAUUUCAUCACUCUAAAAGAAAUACUUUAUUUUCUCUGUUUUUAAAUCCAUCUGCUUAAAUUUUCACUCCUAAAUGAAUGUCCUCCCUUUUGUGUUUGCAGGAUUUGGCGAACUGUUCUGCUGUCAUCUUGCCCAACUCUUCUCCAGUUGAUUUCAUUAUUUUUCUUGGUAAAGGAAAUGCUUCCUCUCCUUAGACAUUUAGUUGUCCUAAGGCUUUGUUGUCCAUGGCACUGCCUAGCUGCCCCUGUCCUAGUCUCAGUGCUUCCCAAGCCCAUCUCAGAAACCUUGCAGCCUGCAGCCAGAAAUGGAUGAGGCUCCAUGGACUACAUGCCACAGUGGCACAGAGGAGAAUAGAUGAGAAGAGACUUGCUGCAGCAGAUGUUCAGCUAUUCCUGCUUUCAUAAGCAGAGGAAAAGAAAAUACAGGAAAGGGAGGAUGUGGAAAAGAGGACAUUCCACUGGGGAAAAAGAAAAAAGGUUAAGGUAAAUCUUUGGCCUGGUGAAAGCCCAAAGAUGGAUCUGCAGAUCAGAUGAAAGGAGUUUGUGGUUAGGUAGUGGAAAGUAAAACCAACAGACUGAGACAGAAAAAGGGGAGAUGCUGGGAGAAGUGAGAGAUUUUAAUAGAACUAGGCAAAAUGAGGAAAAAGAAAAAUUAAAAGGAAGAUACAAAGGGAGCUCAAAGCUUUUGUCUUUUCAAAAUAAAAUAUUUUUUGAAAGAAAAAUGUAACUAAUCCAAAUGAGAGUGGAGCAAUUAGUAGAUGGAGAAGUGCCAAAUAUAAUGAAACAUAGUGAGGAAGAAGGAAAAUGUAAAAAUGAAAGGAAGCGGAAAAGGGGAGGGGGGGCACCCUACAUUACUUCUAUUUUUCCAAUUCCUUUGUUUUAUCAUAUGUCCUUGGGAAACCAGUUUAUUGUGAUAAAAGAAUUUAUGUCUAACAAUGGCAUAUCCUCUGCUUUUACUCACUGAUACUAUUAUUGUACUUGGGCUAGACCGGUGACCUCCAAAAGUUUUUGAGCAUGCACCUUUAUCAGUAAGACGUUUUGGAGCAUGCACCCAUA